AUGCUCACUUCUGCAGCAUAUAUACUAAAAUUGGAAUGAUACAGAGAAGAUUAGCAUGGGCUCUGCACAAGGGUGACACGCAAAUUCGUGAAGCGUUCCAUAUUAAA